ensembl:lncRNA
AUGGGGAGGCAUUUCAAAGCUGCUCAGAGCAAGACUCAAAACAACAGGAAAGCUGCUUUGGAUAAUCAUUACCUAUUCCCCUUCUCUCUUCAUGCUCAAGCUCAGCCAAAACAUAUUGGACAAACCUACUUCCAGAAACUAUUUCCAAGCAAAGAAAAGACAAGAAAGAUGGAAAGUGACAAUGUUGAAGUCUCUCAGGAAUCCAAUAAGAUGGAAAAGGAAGCCAAGCACCCAGACAGCCAGACCUCUGCCUUCCCACUGCACUGCCAGCAGAUCACCAUGCUACCGUUCAUCAAAGAGAACUUCAGUUUUUAUUUAGAAGAGAGCAGAGUCCAACUGUCUCCCUGAGGUCUGGUUUGGUUUUCCCACAGUCCACAGGGUGACAAAUGUCACGUUCCCAUCUCUCUAUUUGUGGAGCUCUUGCAGUGCUGGGUAAUUGCUCUGCGAUGCAUUGAGAUGCCCUUCAGAGGUGGAACUCUUCUGUUUGUCUUUAGAAAGGGGAUGAUCAAACAAGGAAAUAUAAUAGCUUUAUGAAUGCACAAAACGUAGACAGGCAGUAACAGCUCCUGAGCAUCACAGUGUCUGUGUUUCUCUUGCGAAGUGGAUGCAGCAGGAGGUGUUGGCAGAAUUCAGUCUGCUUGGUGUAGGUGACAUCAUCACCCAAAAAUCUGUGUGCAGAGGUUGAACUGGGGAAAAUGUCUAAGGCUGGUGCCUGGCAGACAGCACUGUUCCAGCUGCAAACACUGCUGACCACAGGCAGGACUCAGACAUUUGCUAAGAACGGAUAAGCAGGGCGGGAGCUGCUGAGUCAUGUUCCUCUGGGGAAGGUUUGCUGAGUCACAGUGCAGGCAGCACUCUGUCCUCUGCUGAUGCCACUAUGCAAGACUCCAGCUCUAGAUUUUUUUCCCCCUCACUUCUGAUCCAAAGUCAAGUCACUGUCCCACAGCAAAGCACCUGAUAUUGCACCACUGUCACGUGGCCUUGUUGCAUCUUUCCUACUGGCUGCUUGCUAACACAAGCCAUCACUGGUCAGUGAUACCACACCAGAAAAUGUAUCCUCUCCUCUCUCAGCACCAUCCAGACUGUGGGCUGCACUGGGAUGUGCUCACCCUCUGCUGAAUCCACGUCCCCAAUACGUGUUUGCAUGUUAUCUUCACUGCAGGCAGGAGGGAUAUAGGCAGUCAGACUCACCUUGGUAAAGCAGCACUGCAUCAGAAACCCAUCUAGAAAAGUGACCUUGACUUCCCAGAGGUUCUUCUCUCAAUUCAGAAUAUGUAUGGAGGAGCUGAAGCUGAUCGUACUCUCCCCUUUCAACACAGCAUUCAAACUGAAGUAAAGCUAGUAGUAUAACACGUAAAGUCACAUUUCACAUUUCCAGUAAUACCCCAGGUGCACUGCAUGGUUGCAGCAGUCACAUUCAUAUUUUUCAGGAAACCUGCAUCAGUAUAUUCAGUUUUGUUGGCUGAUAUACAUUUUUGACAUACUGAUUCAUGCAUGAAAGACAGUGCAUCCUGCUGUCAGCUGCCCUGGACUUGGACUAAACAACCCAAACAUCUAGGCUGUACUCUCAGGUACCAAUACUUAUAACCCUAUUUCAUUUAUUAAAGCCUUUUCAUAAGGAUUCAGUUGGGAAGCCCACCUUCUACAGAAUUUCGCAGCAGUGAUUUGUAGGAGCUACAUAACCAGAGCCAGAAAAUGAGAUCAGAGCUGGAGUAUGAAAGGAAUUGAUGCUAAAUGGAGGAAUGCCACAGCUGGAAGAACUGAGGGAAAUAAAUACUUUUCCAUAUCUGUUCCA